GUGAUUCAGCGUCCCUCUUAGCAGCAGGCAAUGACAGAGGCAGGAGAGGGGAAAAAAAAAAAGAAAGAAAGAAAAAACACAGCAAAUGAAUCAAACGGACCAGGUAGCAGGCAAGAGUGUGGUUAUCGUUGGACCAGGAUUCAGGAUCUGACUGAGUAGCUGACUCUUAAUCCAGUUUGUGUUGAUCACCAGGAGGAUCUGGACCUCAGUAUUACCACAUCUAGAGGUGAUAUGCCAACUCCACCUUUGCCUUCCACCAUGUUUGGAAGCUCCCUGAGGCCUCACCAGGAGCAGAUGCUCGUCCCAUGCUUCCUAUAAGCCUGCAGAACUGUGAGCCAUAAUAAACUGUGAAUUAUAAAUUGCCUUUAUAGCAAUGCAAAUGGACCAGUACAGAUGGGAUGCUGGGAAGACAGUUGUUUCCACCUUCAGUAAAGUCCGUGGAACACAGUUGUGACUAUAUUCUAGGCCAGCCAAGAUGCUUGUACUCAGAAAGGAGUGGUCUCAGGACCAUAAGAAAGUGAAAAAAUAAAAAUAAGAAAAUAAAGAAGGGAUUGUCAAUGAAUCAGAAUUCAUCAAGGUCAAAGUCUUAGGAAAUUCCUUCAUGAGGAAGUCUAGGGGGGCUAUGGAAAUGAAAUUUUUAAACAAAUAGGUAUGUGGUGCUGGCAGGAAUAAAUUAUGGACUUAUGAAUAUAACAUAAGAUUCUUUAUUACCUGGUCUCACCCGUCUUUCCACCUCUGCCCCCCUUCUUGCCCGACUCUGUGUAUCACCCAUAAUAAACUACUUACAGCUUCCUAGUGUUAAAUUUACCCUAA
rnacentral:lncRNA from 10 species